AUUGGUAGUGAGUUUUUUGGGUUUUCUCUUUCAUAUAUCCCAGAUUGGGUGCUGGAGAAGCUAGCUAAUGGGCACAGACAAAAAGGUCCCAAGAAAAGCAUGCUCUCUUUUUUGAGUUUUCCUGGGCCUGCUAUACAAAUUACUACAAAUUGCCUGGCUUAAACAACAGUAAUUUAUUCUCACAGUUCUGAAGGCCAGAAAUCUGAAAUCAAGAUGUAGGCAGGACCAUAUCUCCUGUGUAGGCUCUAAAGAUAAAUUCUGUUCCUUGCCUCUUCCAAUAUCUGAUGGAUCCAGACAAUCCUGACUUGUGGCUGCAACUCUGAUUCAAGGAUAUGUUGCCACCGCCUCCUCCAUCUAAUCUCCCCUGUAUAUAAUUUAUGAUAACAGUUGUCAUUAGAUUUAGGGCCAAUUUGGAAAAUGUAGGAUAAGUACCUCCUCUCAGGAUUUUUAUGCAGUCACACAUUUUGCCAUGUGAGUAAACAUUUACAGGUUCUGGGGAUUUGGAUGUGAUUUGGGGUCACCCUUGGAUCCCCUGAAUUCAUGUCUGUCAAACAUCCCCAAAAGUCUCUAUCCAUUACAGAAUCAACUCUGAGGCCAUAUUCUCACUUAGAUAUCAGCUUAAAAGUCCUGAAUUUCAUCAUCUCAAUCAGGUGUGGGUGAGAUUCAGGCCAGUUAUAAUCUAGGACAAAAUUUGUCCAUCUGUGGACCUGUGGAAUUAGGAAACAAGUAAUCUGCUCCCAAAAUACAAUGGUAGAAUAGGCAUAUGAUAGACAUUCCCAAACCAAUAAGGAAAAAUGGAAGGAAUAAUGAAGUCAUCAGUCCCAUCAAUUUUGGAUUUCAAGCAGGGCAAAUUCCAUUAUGCUUCAAGUUCUGUAAAUUGGUUUGUGGCUCUGCCUAUUAGACCUAUAGCAGCUUUGUUAAUCUUUGCAUGUGUGCUCACGGUAGCACCAUGGACUUCUUUAUGCCCAUGGUGGCUCUAUAGACUUUUGAUUCUGCCCACAGAAACUUACUAGGUCUGUAUCCAUUAACUCUGUAUCUGCUCAGCCAAUGACUCUGCCCUUAAAAUUAUUUUUCCUUUCUUCACCCCCGCCCCACCCCAGAAAGACAGCAUGCUUGCAGCCUAAUAGUUUGAUCAGCCCAUUUCCUGCCUGUAGUUUUGGAAUUUCACUAGCCUUUCCCUUCUUUCAUCCCGUGUCCCUUUAAUCUAAGCUGAUUUCUGUUGAUAACACAUUCUCAAAAAUAAUGUAGGUCUCCUAUGUAUGUCAUGGAGUUCCGCACCAUUAGACAAGAGGGCCCUCCACAUAUUUUCCAGAAUAAUCCCAUUCCUGACUUUUACUGAAAUGGUUGAGUGGGUCAUAUGCCAUGAGUCAUAUGCCUAAUCUCUUCUAUGAAAGUUUGUCCAGCACACACUUGACUUUCUCUCCAGGGGGGCGCUUUCCCAGAGUGAAUUUUUAAAUUUUAGUUUUGCAAUCUUGGUAGGCCAAGGACAUCCCAAGUAAUCAAGUGCUGAUUCUUUUUUUUUUCCUUUUCUUUCUUUUUUUAAAAUUCUUUGUAGUUGUAGAUGGAUAGCAUACCCUAUUAUUUAUUUUUAUGUGGUGCUAAGGAUCAAACAUAGUGCCUCACACAUGCUAGGCAAGUGCUCUGCUACUGAGCCCCAUCAAGUUCUGGUUCUUUUUUGCUUAACUCUUCAAUUUAUCUCAUUCUUUUUGCAUUUUAUUAUAAGCAACAAGGAGAAGCCAGGCUGUAUUGUCAGUGUUUUGCUUGUGAAUCUCAGGCGAAUAACCAAAUUCAUUGCUUACAAAUUCUGCUUUUCACAAAAUCAGAACACAAUUCAGCCAGUUUACUUCUCUAUAUAAAAAGGAUAAUCUUUCCCUCAAUUUCCAGUAAUGUGUUUCUUAUUUUUUUCUGAGUCCAACUAUGUUUGUUUGUUUCUUAUUUUUUUCUGAGCCCACAAUAAAAACAUUUGUAUUUAUUUGUUAUAAUUGGUUAUACAUGACAGUAGAAUGCAUUAUGACACAUUGUACACAAAUGGAACAUAACUUCUCAUUCCUCUGGCUGUACUGCUGAAUCACACCAAGAGUAUAUUCAUUUCUGUAAAUAUUUUGUUCAUAGUAAAUGUGUUCUUCAAGAUGAUAGAAACUUUCUCGACCAUGCUCCUAAUAUCCUUCUCAGUCUUCAUCAUCUGUCUUUAACAUCUGUAUUUCUAUCAACAUUAUUCAAGGCAGUCAAGACUUUUACUGUCAUGUACCUUAAUAUUCUUCAUCUUCUAUUCAUUAUAUAAUUCCAAAGCUACUUCCACCUCUUUGUGUUAUAGUACAUGUUAUAAAGCAUCCUAUUCCUUAAUACCAAAAUCUAUAUCACCUUUCUAGUUUUCUAUAAUAAAUUACCUCAAGUAGGUGACUGCCUCAGCCUCUAUUGUUUACUGCCUCCUAUCUAUCAAAUAUCCCCGGUGUGUCUUUUAUCAUGAUACUUGUUAAGAUGGUCCUCCCAAAUCUUUUAUUACAAUUUUUGUUGUAUAAGAUAGUAUCUACUUCUUUGCUGCAAGUCACAAAUUCUGAGAAUUAAGAUGUGAACAUAUCAUCUUGGGUACUACCAUUUAAAUUACUACAUUAGCCAUAAGACCAGGAGAAAGAAUCUUAGACAAUGACUACUCCAGCCAAAUACCACAGCAAAACUGCUUUUCUGUCAGCAAAGGUCAAACAAGGAACUUUGACUUCCACACUCAUCAGAUUGUUAUGAAGAGUCCCCAUAUCUCCCACUAGGGUGAUGACAAAAGAAGACCAACUGAGGAGCUAGGACUUACAUGUCUGCUAGAUGCUAACAAGUCCCCUUCCACAUGGUAUCAAGGGAGACUACAUGGUGAAUGGCACUUUUAACCACCCAUUAAUUGUAUUAAUGGAGACAUAGUUAAGAGAGUAAACUCCCACAUCUUUCUAAGUAUCAAGGAGCUCCUGCUCCCAGUAUUUGUCAAUGGAGUUUUACUGAACUCUACUGCCAUCAAUGAGUAUAUCCAGCAGACAAUCCAGAUGGCAACAGGCAGAUUACCAUUUUCACUUGAUAAUAAUUAGAUGGCAUUUUGUCUCCCUUGAUAGAACAGUGCCAGAGGAAGCCUACUCAGAUUUAAAUAAAAUACAGAGCUACAUAACACUCAAGUAUCUAAAUUUCAUUCUAAAAUCAAUUCAUUUUUAUCAUGGGUCUAUAUAUUUAUUCAAAUCUUCUCAUAAAACUUUUAAAUAGCUGAAAUAUUUUACCCAUCUAGAUGUUGCACAUUAAAAAAAAU
rnacentral:lncRNA from 1 species